AUACGGAGGAUCCGAGCGUUAUCCGGAUUUAUUGGGUUUAAAGGGUGCGCAGGCGGCCAUUUAAGUCAGCGGUUAAAUCGUGGGGCUCAACCCCAUUCUGCCGUUGAUACUGGGUGGCUUGAUUGCGGUCGAGGUUGGCGGAAUUCGUUGUGUAGCGGUUAAAUGCAUAGAUAUGACGAAGAACACCGAUUGCGUAGGCAGCUGACCAGACCGCAAAUGACGCUCAUGCACGAAAGUGCGGGGAUCGAACAGGAUUAGAUACCCUGGUAGUCCGCACAGUAAACGAUGAAUACUUGUUUUCGGCGAUAUAAUGUCGGAGGCAAAGCGAAAGCGAUAAGUAUUCCACCUGGGGAGUACGCCGGCAACGGUGAAACUCAAAUGAAUUGGCGGGG
rnacentral:rRNA from 1 species